rnacentral:rRNA from 1 species
UUGCCAGCCGCCGCGGUAAUAACCGCGCCUCAAGUGGUAGUCACGUUUAUUGGGCCUAAAGCGUCCGUAGCCGGUUUGAUAAGUUUCUGGUGAAAUCCACUAGUAGACUAGUGGAACUGCUGGAAAUACUAUCAGGCUUGAGACCGGGAGAGGUUGGGAGUAUCCCACGGGUAAGAGUAAAAUCUUUUAAUCCGUGGAGGACCACCUGUGGCGAAGGC